GCCGGGUGUGGUGGCGUGCGCCUGUAAUCCCAGCUACUCAGGAGGCUGAGGCAGGAGAAUCGCUUGAACCCAGGAAGCGGAGAUUGCAGUGAGCCGAGAUUGCACCACUGCACUCCGGCCUGGGUGACAGAGUGAGACUCCAUCUCAA
rnacentral:SRP_RNA from 1 species